rnacentral:rRNA from 1 species
UACGAAGGGGGCUAGCGUUGCUCGGAAUCACUGGGCGUAAAGCGCACGUAGGCGGAUUGUUAAGUCAGGGGUGAAAUCCUGGAGCUCAACUCCAGAACUGCCUUUGAUACUGGCGAUCUUGAGUCCGGGAGAGGUGAGUGGAACUGCGAGUGUAGAGGUGAAAUGCGCAGAUAUCGGGAAGAACACCCGUGGCGAAGGCGGUUCUGCUGGGACGGUACUGACGCUGAGACGCGAAAGCGUGGGGAG